CUAUUGUAUGAAAGGAGAGACGGUUAGCACUUCUCUGAAUGAGGAUGGAAGAGGUCCAAGUGGCCUAUACAAUACACACAUGAUUAAGGCAUUGCCACUUACCUUUUUGA